rnacentral:tRNA from 1 species
GAGGAUAUAGCUCAGUGGUCAAGUGCAUGCCUAGCAGGCAUGAGGUUCUGGGUUCAAUCCUCAGCACCAUUA